GGAGGAACCAGGAGAUUUCAGGAGGAACUUCCCAGAUUGUGGACAGGAGAUUCCACCUCUUCAGCUGUUGGGAUGUCUGCACCUUCUGUUGGACCCUGGUGGAGAGAGAAAAGAACGACUCCGUUUUUGCCAGACUGGAGGAUGUUGGAGGGAGUCUGUUAAUCUCUCUGGACCUGACAUUUGAAAACCUCCACCUCUCCUCACCCUCCCAGCCCACUGAUGUGAGGAAAUCCAGCUCUGAACAGACUGAACUUCUAAAUCCCUCCUGGAAGCUUCACCCUGAACAGACAACUGCAACGCCGUGGUAACGGGCAGAUUACAGCGUCAGACGUUCCUGCAGAAACCCUCAGAGCCCAGAGGGAUUCUUACCGAUGCUCAGGAGAUGGACGAGGAGAGGAAACGUUGUCCAUCCUCCAGAUGGAUCUGAAGACCCGACCGGCCUCUGGGGCGGCGUUUGGUGAAGUUAUCUCUGGAGGCUGCUGGAGGAUAAAUGUGGAGAUCUGCAGAUAGAAGCCAAGAAGAUGAACGGAGCUGGAGAGGAAGAAGAUCUACGUCUGCUCCCAGCGGUGGAUCUGAAGUUAACCAAACUGGUUCCGACUGUGACUGGAAUAAUUGUGAGGUU
ensembl:lncRNA